rnacentral:rRNA from 1 species
UGCAAGUCGAACGAACCCUUCGGGGUUAGUGGCGCACGGGUGCGUAACGCGUGGGAAUCUGCCCUUAGGUUCGGAAUAACUCAGAGAAAUUUGAGCUAAUACCGGAUGAUGACGUAAGUCCAAAGAUUUAUCGCCUGAGGAUGAGCCCGCGUAGGAUUAGCUAGUUGGUGUGGUAAAGGCGCACCAAGGCGACGAUCCUUAGCUGGUCUGAGAGGAUGAUCAGCCACACUGGGACUGAGACACGGCCCAGACUCCUACGGGAGGCAGCAGUGGGGAAUAUUGGACAAUGGGCGAAAGCCUGAUCCAGCAAUGCCGCGUGAGUGAUGAAGGCCUUAGGGUUGUAAAGCUCUUUUACCCGGGAUGAUAAUGACAGUACCGGGAGAAUAAGCUCCGGCUAACUCCGUGCCAGCAGCCGCGGUAAUACGGAGGGAGCUAGCGUUGUUCGGAAUUACUGGGCGUAAAGCGUACGUAGGCGGCUUUGUAAGUAAGAGGUGAAAGCCUGGAGCUCAACUCCAGAACUGCCUUUUAGACUGCAUCGCUUGAAUCCUGGAGAGGUGAGUGGAAUUCCGAGUGUAGAGGUGAAAUUCGUAGAUAUUCGGAAGAACACCAGUGGCGAAGGCGGCUCACUGGACAGGUAUUGACGCUGAGGUACGAAAGCGUGGGGAGCAAACAGGAUUAGAUACCCUG